GAUGAACGCUGGCGGCGUGCCUAAUACAUGCGAGUCGAGCGAACAGACGAGGAGCUUGCUCCUCUGACGUUAGCGGCGGACGGGUGAGUAACACGUGGAUAACCUACCUAUAAGACUGGGAUAACUUCGGGAAACCGGAGCUAAUACCGGAUAAUAUAUUGAACCGCAUGGUUCAAUAGUGAAAGACGGUUUUGCUGUCACUUAUAGAUGGAUCCGCGCCGCAUUAGCUAGUUGGUAAGGUAACGGCUUACCAAGGCAACGAUGCGUAGCCGACCUGAGAGGGUGAUCGGCCACACUGGAACUGAGACACGGUCCAGACUCCUACGGGGGGCAGCAGUAGGGAAUCUUCCGCAAUGGGCGAAAGCCUGACGGAGCAACGCCGCGUGAGUGAUGAAGGUCUUCGGAUCGUAAAACUCUGUUAUUAGGGAAGAACAAAUGUGUAAGUAACUAUGCACGUCUUGACGGUACCUAAUCAGAAAGCCACGGCUAACUACGUG
rnacentral:rRNA from 1 species